rnacentral:rRNA from 1 species
GUCGGGAAUAUUGCGCAAUGGAGGAAACUCUGACGCAGUGACGCCGCGUGCAGGAAGAAGGUUUUCGGAUUGUAAACUGCUUUAGACAGGGAAGAACAAAGACAGUACCUGUAGAAUAAGCUCCGGCUAACUACGUGCCAGCAGCCGCGGUAAUACGUAGGGAGCGAGCGUUAUCCGGAUUUAUUGGGUGUAAAGGGUGCGUAGACGGGAAGUCAAGUUAGUUGUGAAAUCCCUCGGCUUAACUGAGGAACUGCAACUAAAACUGAUUUUCUUGAGUACUGGAGAGGAAAGUGGAAUUCCUAGUGUAGCGGUGAAAUGCGUAGAUAUUAGGAGGAACACCGGUGGCGAAGGCGACUUUCUGGACAGAAACUGACGUUGAGGCACGAAAGUGUGGGGAGCAAACAGGAUUAGAAACCCUAGUAGUCCC